CGAGCUAAAGCUUUAAGAAGCAUUUUAGUUACAUUAAAAAGAUUAUUUUUAUAUGGCUUGA
rnacentral:tRNA from 1 species